AAUUUUUCCGUUUCUUGACGAAUAUCCGUUCGUCUUCCACGGCGAACCGUCUGUUUGGCUGCCAAGAAAACCAUGAGAAAGUUCGAGAAUAAGCUAAAAUGGAACUGAGAAGCGAGUAUAGCGUUAUAAUCAACUUACCAAAAUAAUAUUAUUAUCGAGGAACAGUGGUUUUGUUUUGGAUACAGAUGCACGCCUGCACUUGGCAAUUCAGUCAGGACGGCAAAUCAUUGUAGAUGCCUUCUAUGUAAUAUCAGACUGCGUGGACAAGAAGUGUAGUUUUAGGAAGAAGGUAUACCCCAGAUUUGUUGCCCUUGCUGGUGGCUCGUAGCUUUGCUGCUGUGGCUGGCUAAGCUGGAGACGGACAGGGAAAAGAAAAGUGGAACUGGAUAAAUCCUCAGAGCGAGGUUUUUACUGCGUCUGGGAUUAGCCUUACCAAUUAUUGCAUUCUCAGAGCUUCAUGAUUGAAUUGAAACACCCCAUAGUAAGAAGAGAUGCCCUGUAGAUCGGGAACAAAUUUCUUAUUACUGAAGCAACUUCACUCAUAUGGGAGCCGGCAUAUGUGAUGCUUUGUCAUAAUAACCUCUUGUCCCAUUGUUACUGAACUUGGGAGGUUAGCAAUUCAGCCUUUGCUCCUUGGUUCCAAUAUUGUGUUUGGAAUUAUUAAUGCCUGAGCUUCCAAGAUAUUGCAACUUUCUUGCUAUGAUUUGUCAAGAAUAACGAACUAUCUUUUAAUGGAAUAAUUUUGAAAGGUGUGCAUCUAUUGGAACUACCGUCCUUGUGAUGCAUCUGUUGGUUUCUUGGCCAGGUUAUUUUCCUCUGCAAUUGCAAAUGAAGAGCAUCACGGCUUUGGCUGAUGAAACAACAUUAAGUUCUGAAUUAACUUUGGCAAUCUACUUCGUUCAUAGUCUUCCUGCCAUCUCCAAUGUGUCUUUGACAAGAAGUGAAGAAAAAUAAUCCUGUUCUUGAUUGAUCUCUGCCUAUAAACGAAGACAAAGUCAUUGGAGUUCUUCAAAUCCAUGAGCUUGAUUUAUGGCUCACGAAACAGACAUGCACAUUGAAUUGGCAAUUAGUUAUGCAAGGAAGUCCUCUUCUAUCACAGUUUUCUUUCUGUGACCAACCCGUAACCACUGGAUGUUUGUUUCUAAGGAUCCAGAAACAGUGUUUGUUUUCUGUAUAAAAUGGCUUCUUGGAUGAAUACUUCUUCAUAUCCUUGAAAGAACCUCAACAUAUCUAUUGAGCAGAAUAAUUUAUAUUUUUUCUUUUUUUACUGGUACCUUGUAUUUUUUUUUAAUAGAUUUUGGUACGUUUAUACUCAUCUGGACUCCCAAUCACUUUACAUCUCCGUUUUCUCAUCUUUUAUACCAUAUUAUUAAUUUAAUGUUCAAUGCAAUGAAGCACUUGUAUUGUGAUUAGAUUUCGGCAUUUGUGAUUGGAAAUGUACUUCUGGAUGAUUGAGAUUUUGGAUGCUUGUAUUUCAAGGAAGAAUACGCAAGGAAGCCUUUUGUAGUAUUCUACUAACAAAUAUGAGGAAUGGUGUUACCGAAACUCAAGGGGAAUAUUUUUCAUUUUAACAAGUCGGACUCUGGACAUCUUGGUAGGCUUCACCUCAUAUGGACAGGGAACUGAAGAAUACCUUAACCUCAGAAGCUGGAUUCCCAAAUUGGUAGUGCUCCUCUUUUGCUUUGUUGUAUCGUUCGAUUACUGAUUUUAUGCUGGUAAGAGGAUACAUUUACGUCAGAUACUUUUUUGCUUUUUGCCAGCUUAGCACAAGAAACAUUUGGAAUAUGUUUUCAAAAAUCUGUAUAUGGACAACAAAAGAAAAUUGAUAUAUCAUGGGAACUAGAGAGAAGUUUCCGAUUCCUUUGCUAACUACUUGUUAGACAAUUCACUUUGAGAAGUCUAAUCUAAACUCUUAGUUCUAUAGCUGGGAUUGUUCGACGGCAUUAGUCAUUUCACGGCAACUGAAGACCACGAGAACUAAUUUUCUUGAUUAAAUGGAGCUGCAUACUUUAUAAUGAUGUGAGGUCUUCACACAGAUGUACAAUAGUCUUCCUUAAUAUCUGAACUAUGUUCUACAAUGAGCUUAUAUGGUUCCUCCAAAGUUAAAACCGAUAAUCUGCAGUCGCUCUUGAGUAGAAUGGGAACGGGAAUAGGUUCACACUUUGAACUGUUAUGGUGCAGGGGUGGUUGCUUGUGAGGUGAACCUUUAGUACGAUUGAACCAGUAUAUCUACGGAAGUACCUAGGACUUGAUUUUAACUUUUUCUGGACAGGGCUAGGAUACGAUAAUAGUGGUAAUUGGUAAAUGUCGUAUAUACUAACAGUGUUGAUGGAGGUCCAUAUUUUGUUUUUGCACCUGCGGGUAUAAAUGUUUCUGCAGUUUCUAAUUUGAUUCCAUAGAAGCUCA